rnacentral:rRNA from 1 species
AGAGUUUGAUCCUGGCUCAGAACGAACGCUGGCGGCAUGCCUAACACAUGCAAGUCGAACGAAGUCUUCGGACUUAGUGGCGCACGGGUGAGUAACAUGUGGGAAUCUACCUAGAGGUUCGGAAUAACUGCGGGAAACUGUAGCUAAUACCGGAUGUGUCCGUAAGGAGAAAGAUUUAUCGCCUUUAGAUGAGCCCGCACUGGAUUAGUUUGUUGGUGAGGUAACUGCUCCCCAAGACUACGAUCUAUAGCUGAUUUGAGAGGAUGAUCAGCCACACUGGGACUGAGACACGGCCCAGACUCCUACGGGAGGCAGCAGUGGGGAAUAUUGGACAAUGGGGGAAACCCUGAUCCAGCAAUGCCGCGUGAGUGAAGAAGGCCUUCGGGUUGUAAAACUCUUUCAUCAAUGAAGAUAAUGACAUUAAUUGAAGAAGAAGCUCCGGCUAACUCCGUGCCAGCAGCCGCGGUAAUACGGAGGGGGCUAGCGUUGUUCGGAAUCACUGGGCGUAAAGCGUAUGUAGGCGGAUCAAAAAGUUAGAUGUGAAAUCCCUGGGCUCAACCUAGGAACUGCAUUUAAAACUAGUGAUCUAGAAUUUGGUAGAGGUCAGUAGAAUUUCCAGUGUAGAGGUGAAAUUCGUAGAUUU